rnacentral:rRNA from 1 species
UACGGAGGAGGCAAGCGUUAUCCGGAAUUAUUGGGCGUAAAGCGUCCGUAGGUGGGUGAGGAAGUCUGCUGUUAAAGAGUGAGGCUUAGCCUCAUAAGGGCAGUGGAAACUCUUCGUCUAGAGUGCGACAGGGGCAAGGGGAAUUCCUAGUGUAGCGGUGAAAUGCGUAGAGAUUAGGAAGAACACCGGUGGCGAAAGCGCCUUGCUGGGUCUGCACUGACACUGAGGGACGAAAGCUAGGGGAGCGAAAGGG